rnacentral:rRNA from 1 species
CAUUUAAGAGCACUUGUAAAAUACGAGGUUGAUAGGAACGGGGUGUACGCACUAAGGUAACGAGGUGUUCAGCCCGCGUUUACUAAUAGCUCUUAAUUUUCUGUAC